rnacentral:piRNA from 1 species
UCCUCCCGGUGGGCGUUCUUCAUGGCUUC